AUGAAGUUUGCGGGAGAGUGGCUAGAAUAGCCCGCCGAAGGAGUAAAACUCUCAGGCACUCGGACCACCGAGUAGAA
rnacentral:ncRNA from 2 species